AUUGAACGCUGGCGGCAUGCUUUACACAUGCAAGUCGAACGGUAACAGGUUAAGCUGACGAGUGGCGAACGGGUGAGUAAUGCAUCGGAACGUGCCCGGUCGUGGGGGAUAACGCAGCGAAAGCUGCGCUAAUACCGCAUACGAUCUAAGGAUGAAAGCGGGGGACCGUAAGGCCUCGCGCGAUCGGAGCGGCCGAUGUCAGAUUAGGUAGUUGGUGGGGUAAAGGCUCACCAAGCCAACGAUCUGUAGCUGGUCUGAGAGGACGAACAGCCACACUGGGACUGAGACAAGGCCCAGACUCCUACGGGAGGCAGCAGUGGGGAAUUUUGGACAAUGGGCGAAAGCCUGAUCCAGCAAUGCCGCGUGCAGGAAGAAGGCCUUCGGGUUGUAAACUGCUUUUGUACGGAGCGAAAAGGUCUCCUCUAAUACAGGGGGCUCAUGACGGUACCGUAAGAAUAAGCACCGGCUAACUACGUGCCAGCAGCCGCCGCAG
rnacentral:rRNA from 1 species